AGAGUUUGAUCCUGGCUCAGAUUGAACGCUGGCGGCAGGCCUAACACAUGCAAGUCGAGCGGCAGCGGGAAAGUAGCUUGCUACCUUUGCCGGCGAGCGGCGGACGGGUGAGUAAUGCCUGGGGAUCUGCCCAGUCGAGGGGGAUAACAGUUGGAAACGACUGCUAAUACCGCAUACGCCCUACGGGGGAAAGGAGGGGACCUUCGGGCCUUUCGCGAUUGGAUGAACCCAGGUGGGAUUAGCUAGUUGGUGAGGUAAUGGCUCACCAAGGCGACGAUCCCUAGCUGGUCUGAGAGGAUGAUCAGCCACACUGGAACUGAGACACGGUCCAGACUCCUACGGGAGGCAGCAGUGGGGAAUAUUGCACAAUGGGGGAAACCCUGAUGCAGCCAUGCCGCGUGUGUGAAGAAGGCCUUCGGGUUGUAAAGCACUUUCAGCGAGGAGGAAAGGUUGGCAGCUAAUAUCUGUCAGCUGUGACGUUACUCGCAGAAGAAGCACCG
rnacentral:rRNA from 1 species